GACGCUGUGGCCGAGUGGUCUAAGGCGAUGGAUUUAGGCUCCAUUCCUGCGGGGCGUGGGUUCAAAUCCCACCGGCGUCA